rnacentral:rRNA from 1 species
UCGAGGAUCAUUCGCAAUGCGCGAAAGCGUGACGGUGCGACGCCGCGUGCAGGAUGAAGGCCUUCGGGUCGUAAACUGCUGUCAUGAGGGAACAAUGUCCGGAAUGUUAACACCAUUUCGGGGUGAUAGUACCUCAAGAGGAAGCCACGGCUAACUCUGUGCCAGCAGCCGCGGUAAUACAGAGGCGGCGAGCGUUGUUCGGAUUUACUGGGCGUAAAGGGUGCGUAGGCGGUUCUGUGUGUCGGAUGUGAAAGCUCACAGCUCAACUGUGGAAUUGCAUUUGAAACUACAGGGCUGGAGUACAGGAGAGGAGAGCGGAAUUCUCGGUGUAGCGGUGAAAUGCGUAGAUAUCGAGAGGAACACCGGUGGCGAAGGCGGCUCUCUGGACUGAUACUGACGCUGAGGCACGAAAGCUGGGGGAGCAAACAGG